rnacentral:ncRNA from 1 species
UCCUGAGCGCGUGGCGCAGGACGAUCGCGGAGAAACCCACGCCCUUGAGGCGCGCGGUGCGGAUAUAUUGCUGGGUCAUGACCUCGGUCAUCGAGGCGCGGGUGAUCCGCGCGACAUAGCCCAUGCCGUAUAGCGCGAUGGUCAUGACUGGCAGCGCGAAGUUCCAGAUCG